rnacentral:rRNA from 1 species
CGCGUAGGCGGUUUGUACAGUCAGAAGUGAAAUUCCUGGGCUCAACCUGGGGACUGCUUUUGAUACGUGCAGACUUGAGUGAGGAAGAGGGUUGUGGAAUUUCCAGUGUAGAGGUGAAAUUCGUAGAUAUUGGAAAGAACACCGGUGGCGAAGGCGGCAACCUGGUCCUUUACUGACGCUGAGGCGCGAAAGCGUGGGGAGCAAACAGGAUUAGAUACCCUGGUAGUCCACGCUGUAAACGAUGUGUGCUGGAUGUUGGGGAACUUAGUUUCUCAGUGUCGUAGCUAACGCGAUAAGCACACCGCCUGGGGAGUACGGCCGCAAGGUUGA